CUUUAUCUGCCGGCGACCGGCGCACGGGUGAGUAACACGUAUGCAACCUGCCCCUGUCAGGGGGACAACCCGCCGAAAGGCGGGCUAAACCCGCGUACAUGCCACCGGGGCAUCCCGGAGGCAGGAAAGGCUUCGGGCCGGACAGGGAUGGGCAUGCGGCGCAUUAGGCAGUAGGCGGGGUAACGGCCCACCUAACCGACGAUGCGUAGGGGUUCUGAGAGGAAGGUCCCCCACACUGGUACUGAGACACGGACCAGACUCCUACGGAAGGCAGCAG
rnacentral:rRNA from 1 species